rnacentral:rRNA from 1 species
GGGGAAUAUUGCACAAUGGGGGAAACCCUGAUGCAGCGACGCCGCGUGAAGGAAGAAGUAUCUCGGUAUGUAAACUUCUUUCAGCAGGGAAGAAGCGAAAGUGACGGUACCUGCAGAAGAAGCGCCGGCUAACUACGUGCCAGCAGCCGCGGUAAUACGUAGGGCGCAAGCGUUGUCCGGAAUUAUUGGGCGUAAAGAGCUCGUAGGCGGUUAGUCGCGUCUGCUGUGAAAACUCGAGGCUCAACCUCGGGCUUGCAGUGGGUACGGGCUGACUAGAGUGCGGUAGGGGUGACUGGAAUUCCUGGUGUAGCGGUGGAAUGCGCAGAUAUCAGGAGGAACACCGAUGGCGAAGGCAGGUCACUGGGCCGCAACUGACGCUGAGGAGCGAAAGCAUGGGGAGCGAACA